GAUGAACGCUGGCGGCGUGCCUAAUACAUGCAAGUCGAGCGAACGGACGAGAAGCUUGCUUCUCUGAUGUUAGCGGCGGACGGGUGAGUAACACGUGGAUAACCUACCUAUAAGACUGGGAUAACUUCGGGAAACCGGAGCUAAUACCGGAUAAUAUUUUGAACCGCAUGGUUCAAAAGUGAAAGACGGUCUUGCUGACACUUAUAGAUGGAUCCGCGCUGCAUUAGCUAGUUGGUAAGGUAACGGCUUACCAAGGCAACGAUGCAUAGCCGACCUGAGAGGGUGAUCGGCCACACUGGAACUGAGACACGGUCCAGACUCCUACGGGAGGCAGCAGUAGGGAAUCUUCCGCAAAGGGCGAAAGCCUGACGGAGCAACGCCGCGUGAGUGAUGAAGGUCUUCGGAUCGUAAAACUCUGUUAUUAGGGAAGAACAUAUGUGUAAGUAACUGUGCACAUCUUGACGGUACCUAAUCAGAAAGCCACGGCUAACUACGUG
rnacentral:rRNA from 1 species